AUUUUAUUCAAACUCGGUAAAUAAGGAAUACAAUGGCUUUUAGCCAGUUCACAAAUAUCAUAAUAAAAAUUUGAAACACUUAAAUCUGCAAAAAGAUGUGGUCGUAAUUUUUUAAGAUAUACAAAAGAAAGAUGUCCUAGUCUUCGGUGCCAUAGCCAUAUAGUUGCUUGAGCCUUUUCUUCACUGCUAGUUUGGUAUGCAUGACUAAAUUUCUGCCUCCAUUCUCUAUAAGUUCCAUGUAAUAGAGUUUGCCCCAUUUAACACCAUAACUAAAAAUCUUCCGGGUCAAAAUGUCCUGAAAAACACAAAACAACGGCCAAAAGGUUACAGUGCAGGCAAAAGUGGGCGUGAUUUGACUAACAGACAAAAAGUUAUAUUUAAGAGAUGGAACAAUGAGGACUGUAUCUAGUGUGAGAGUACUGGACAAUAUGACAGAUCCUUCUCCAGUAAUAAGAGAGAUACUACCAUUAGUUGUAGAUAUAACCGAUUGGUGAGAUAGGCAAAUAGAUUGUAUCUUGCUAGAGUCUUUAGUCAUAUUGUAACGCCCUCACAUUGGACACUCCAGUACAGUCUACUAUUUCGGCGCCUGAUGUCUGCCCGGACAGUCAAGACGUAUGGAGCUAUACCGGAAAGUGACUGCGAGGUCAAUUUUAAUCCUAAUUUUGAACGAGGAAUUUUGACACCGCAGUCCUAAGAAGUAUUGCAAACCUUCAUAAGUGACAAUUAGCAUCGAAGGAUCUUCCAGGCAUCUCUCAACAUGCUUCCUGGCUGGGCAACCUCUCAGACUGCUACAUUUGUAAUAUCCCCUAGGAUGUGGAGAGCCCUUAAUUGGCUUUUGGCCAUAUUUCCUCCAUGAAUACUCGUCAGGAGGAAUAUCUGCAACUUUGUUACUAAUAGCAGGCACCUUUAUGGAUCUCUUCACCCUCAGUUUCCUUCUCUUUGAACAAUGACAUUUACCAGUACUCCCACAUUUCACACUGCCAUCUUCCCCUCUACCAGAACACCUUCUCUUUGUCCGUUGUGAGAUAUGAUCUGAUGACUGAGGCACACCGAUCAAAUGGAAUGAAUCUCCAUUAAAGUUAGCCACAGUACCAUCCAUGCUCAGAGAUGAUAUGAAUGAUCUUGUUGAUGACAUGGCUUGUGUACAAGCAGACCCAUCAAAUUUAAGGUUAAUCCCACUGUUACUCCUGGAGUACAUCAUAUCGGCUUGAUAUUUCAAUUGUUGCUGCUGCUGAAACUGCAUCCUCUGUAUUUGCUGCUGUUGUUGAAGGAACUGGUAGUGUUGUGAUGGUUUUAUUUGGGCAUUUUGGAGAGGAGGCCUAGCAUUUGAGUUCAUUUCAAGCACUGGGUUCUCAAGAAAAGAUAUCUGGGUAGGUUGCAUACAAGAUUUAGACUUGGAAUCCAUUUCAGUAAGUGGGGUUUCAAGAAAAUUAGCAGGCACCAUUUGGAGGGGCUUUGGUGCCAAAAUUGUUCUGCAAUUGGGGCUAUCUAGGAAGAUGCUUUGAGGCAAAGAUGAUCUAAACUUCUUCAGCUUUCUCACUCUUCCAUGACCAAAACUAGUGCUCAGAAGAGACAACACUCUCUUAAACUUAGACACAGCCUCUCCAGUUUCCAUCAUCAAGUUCCUAGACAGAACUUGAUCUCUGGGUUUGCAAAGGAGGUCCACAACUUUGUGGCAGCUCUCAACAGCUGCCUUGUUUGCUUCCUCAAUCUCCUCCAUACUCACCCAAAACUCAAAAGAAUUUAUCUUCAAUGGUUAAAACCCUUAUAAACCCCUAAAACCAAGUGCAUCACGAAGACAGCUCAAAGACUCAGAGUACCAGCACAAGAACAAAAUAUCCAGAAAACCAUUUCCAUAAAUGGCAUAUACCCAAAUCGGUAUUGGUCAAAACUCAAUAUAUUUGCACCAUCAAAAUGUUGUCAAAACAGAAGCAGAGUGAGACUGCAAGGCUUCAUACUGAAAUCAAAAGAUUACCCAGAUAACAUAAUUAGCCAAUUUUCAAAGGAACUAAAACAAAGAAGGCAAAGAGAAAAACACAUAACAAAGACAAAAUUUUGUUAAAUUUUUAUAAAUGAUAUCCUAUAAAGACUAUACCAUAGUGUGAAAGAGAAGACUCGAGCUCUCGUUCUGGGAUUUGUUAAAAUGGC
rnacentral:misc_RNA from 1 species